CACACACACACACACCCCUCACCCAACCCCUCCCCACGCGCGCGCUCAUUCCGCCUUGCUCUCGAGAGCAGUGGUGUUUGUGUGCGCGCGCUCUCACUCUGACAGGAACGGUCACUGAGGCGGCUGCGGUUCUAACCGUUACUUUACAACACUUUUUAUCGGCUAAUUUUCCUAUUUAACUGCCCUCAAAUAACAUUUAUUUAAUCGUUCUCUGUUGUUUUUUAUUGCCUAGCCGCUUGUUGAUGUGUGAUUCGGAGUUGGGAUGGAAACGGACCGGUACAUCUUAUUAUUAGCAUGAAGCUAACUUUUGUUCGUUUGUUCGCUUAUUUUGAAACAUGAGGGACCGUCUGGCUGAGCUGAAGUCGGGGAGGCCUAGCGAUGAGGAAGAUGGCAGCGUCGUGGUUCCAGUGGAUCGAGGUGGCUUUAUGGAAGGCUUUUUCAGAAAGGUGGAGGAAGUAAGGAUCAACAUUGAUAAAAUUUCCUCGCAGGUGAACGAAGUGAAAAAGAAGCACAGUAUGAUCCUCUCAGCUCCCAACCCUGACGAAAGGACCAAAGAGGAGCUCGAGCAGCUGAUGGUUGAAAUCAAGAAAAACGCCAAUGUGGUACGGACCAAACUCAAAACUAUGCAGCAGAACUUGCCUGCAGAAGAACAAGCCAACCAUGCAUCAGUGGACGAGCGCAUCCAGAGAACACAGUACGCAGUCAUGUCUCGGAAGUUUGUGGAAGUCAUGACUGAGUACAACGAUGAGCAGGUCUCCUUCAGAGAGCGCAGCAAGGGCAGGAUCCAGAGACAGCUGGAGAUUACUGGUAAGAGGACCACCAAUGAGGAACUGGAGGAAAUGCUGGAGAGUGGUAACCCCUCCAUUUUUACCUCAGAUAUCAUUUUGGACUCACAGAUCACCCGACAGGCACUGAACGAGAUUGAGUCAAGGCACAAAGACAUCAUACGGCUUGAGUCCAGCAUCAAAGAGCUCCACGAAAUGUUUAUGGACAUGGCUAUGCUCGUAGAGACACAGGGUGAGAUGAUCGACAACAUUGAGAACAACGUAAGGAACGCGGUGGAGUAUGUAGGCAAAGCCAAUGAGGAGGUGAAGAAAGCUGUGAGGUAUCAGAAGAGCGCUCGCCGGAAAUAUCUCAUCCUGGCUGUGAUCCUGCUGGUGAUAAUCUGUGUUCUCGUGCUAAUCAUCGGCCUUUCCGUGGGCCUGCAAUCUAAAACGACCAUUACUUCAUCAACCAAUCCCGCUUAAGCAUGACUCCUGUACUAACACACUGACCAAGCAGAGUAUGUAUUUCCUCAUAAAAUUGUGUAUGUUGCCAUUUGCGGAUCGGUGUGCCUCCUUCUUCUGCUCAUUGUGAUCGUCGGAGUGUUUGCUAGUUAGCCGUCGAUACUCCAACCAGACAGAGAACUUCAGAACCUUCUGAGCUUAACUAAAAGAUUUUGCUACUGCUGCAAUUUUUGAAUGUCUUAUGUCAAAAAAAAGAACAUUUCAACAUCUCUCCAGGAGCUGAGAUUUAAUACUUUGUUACUGUGAUGUUUUGCCAUAGACAUUUGUGGACAGGUUUUUUUUUGUUUUUUUUUAAUGAUGAUGAUCUAUAAGCUUUUGAGAUCGGGAUUCCCGAAAGGUCUACGUUUACUUUUUCUUGUCAUCACCACACACACCAAGUUGUUACUGAUGCGUGAUGCCUAUUAUGGGUAUAAAACCCAUAAUGGGCAUUUUUGGCCAAAAAUAAAAUGAACACGAUGCACGCAAUUUAUGCAACGCUUAGCCAACACAUCUGGUGGCUGUAAUUUACUACAUGCUAAAGAAGCUUGUAGCUACUAAUUUAAAAAAAAAAAAAAAACAUCAAAUUGAGGUCAAUGUUUGAAAGUGUAAUUUUAUGCUUUAGCAGAUAAAAAAACAUACCUUGACUUGUGUAAGUUAGGUGUUGGGCUACCACAAGCCAGCAGUGCUCCUUGGUAUUGAUUCUUUAAGUCACUGGAACUGUACAGGAGAGAUGAACACCAGUCCUUCCAGAAGAUCUAACCUGAGUCUCCCUUAAAAGACCCCUUAAGUUUGGCGCUGGUUAGUUUGAAGACCGUAGCAUAUGAUUGACAUCUGGGCCUUCAUGCUUGGUGGAUGUGGGCAGAAUCGUCCUGUAAAAGACCCAACAAAGAAAUGCGAUAAAUCCAAAGAACAGCAGAGAUUAUUUUCUUUCCUUUAAGUGGACAAAUGAAGACAAACCAUUGUAAUUAAAGUAAAUAAAUAAACCCCCCCCCCCCCCCCAAAAAAAAAAAAAAAAACAAAAACAAAAAACCAGAGCUAACCAUUUUUCCUUUAUUUCAUCACACAGAUUGUUAAAAUGAACUGAUUUCCAUCUUUAAUAUCUUGGCAGUUUUCUGUGGAAGCUGUAUAAUUUGCUUCCAAUUCUCUUCAUUUACACUUGCAGUUGCACUCUUUGCAAACUGCUGGCUCCACCCAUUCUUUUCUUGCUAAGUCAAUUAGCUAUUUAGCUACAAGAACAAAAAUAACAGAGAAAACUUCAGAUGCUUCAGCUUGUCUUGGGUGAUUUGCUGGUUAACUUCAACGUGUGAUGCAUUUUUUUGUCAUUUGUGAUAUUUCUUGCUAAGAGUUGCACAGUCGAGUAUCGUUCUCACUCCGCAACAAUACGAUGUGUAACGUCGCUCUCUCACUGCCCCGUGAGGUCUGAACGAAGGCCGCAGAUGUCGACGCGAUCCAGACAAGUGCACUUAAUACUGUAGCUCAGAACACACGCACCAAGUGCACUUAAUAUUCAGCCAAAUAUUCAGAAUCAACUCUGAAAUGCCUUUAAUGAUAAGAUGAGUAACAUCAAGGUGCACAGAUUCACAGCUCACUUUACAUGCUUCCAUGUUGUAUCAAGUGAAAUUUUCAUCUAGUAUCUGGUGUACACAUCAGAACAGGCUGGAAGUUGGAUAAAGACGGUAGUGUUUAUAUAUUUAUAGAUAUGGAAGGCUGAUAUCAGACCUGUGAACGUUUGUGAGAAUUUCUUGUAUGUACUGAAUGGUCCUAUCAUUAUGAUGUAUGUAUGUAAAAGUCAAUUUCUGUAAUUAAAAUGAAACUGUGCCUUCA